ACGCACGUGUGAAACUUGAAGGAAUUGACGGAAGGGCACCACAAGAACGCGUGGAGCAUGUGGCUUAACUUGACUCAACGCGGGAAAUCUUACCGGGUCCGGACACACUGAGGAUUGACAGGCAAUAUUAAAUAAAGAAAAUUUUUGGACUAUCUGAUAUUUAUGUUAAAUAUGCUAGUCCUUUCAUGAUUAUGUGAUAGGUGGUGCAUGGCCGUUCUUAGUUCGUGGAGUGAUCUGUCUGCUUAAUUGCGUUUCACUAAGGGCUUAUCUAAUUAUAACGUGUGUUGCUAGAGUUUUAUACCUUUGUGACCCCUUUAAUUAGUGUGUGUCUAUAAUGGUAGCUUUGGCUCACACAAUUAAGUCCUGAAAGCAACGAACGUGACCG
rnacentral:rRNA from 1 species